rnacentral:rRNA from 2 species
CGUGUAGGCGGUUUUGCAAGUCAGAUGUGAAAUUCCCAGGCUUAACCUGGGCGCUGCAUCUGAAACUGCAAGACUUGAGUACUGGAGAGGAUAGUGGAAUUCCCAGUGUAGCGGUAAAAUGCGCAGAUAUUAGGAGGAACACCGGUGGCGAAGGCGACUAUCUGGACAGUAACUGACGCUGAGGCGCGAAAGCGUGGGGAGCAAACA